rnacentral:tRNA from 1 species
GGACUGGUGGUUCAGUGGUAGAAUUCUCACCCUCCACGUGGGAUACCUGGGUUCAACUCCCAGCCAAUGCG